UAUGUAGUUUAAUUCGUAUGCAACGCGAAGAACUUAACCUGGUCUUGACAUCCCGGAGACCCUUAGGAACUAGGGGUGCUUCCAUCUGGAAGAAUCUGGAGACAGGUGCUGCAUGGCUGUCGUCAGCUCGUGUCGUGAGAUGUUGGGUUAAGUCCCGCAACGAGCGCAACCCUUGCCUUUAGUUGCCAGCAGUUCGGCUGGGCACUCUAAAGGGACUGCCCGUGUUAAACCGGAGGAAGGUGGGGAUGACGUCAAGUCCUCAUGGCCUUUAUGACCAGGGCUACACACGUACUACAAUGGCCGAUACAAAGGGCAGCGACACUGCGAGGUGAAGCCAAUCCCGUAAAAUCGGUCUCAGUCCGGACUGGAGUCUGCAACUCGACUCCAUGAAGUUGGAAUCGCUAGUAAUCGUGGAUCAGCAUGCCACGGUGAAUACGUUCCCGGGCCUU
rnacentral:rRNA from 1 species